AACGCUAGCUACAGGCUUAACACAUGCAAGUCGAGGGGCAGCAUUUCAGUUUGCUUGCAAACUGGAGAUGGCGACCGGCGCACGGGUGAGUAACACGUAUCCAACCUGCCGAUAACUCGGGGAUAGCCUUUCGAAAGAAAGAUUAAUACCCGAUGGCAUAAUUAGACCGCAUGGUCUUAUUAUUAAAGAAUUUCGGUUAUCGAUGGGGAUGCGUUCCAUUAGGCAGUUGGUGAGGUAACGGCUCACCAAACCUUCGAUGGAUAGGGGUUCUGAGAGGAAGGUCCCCCACAUUGGAACUGAGACACGGUCCAAACUCCUACGGGAGGCAGCAGUGAGGAAUAUUGGUCAAUGGACGAGAGUCUGAACCAGCCAAGUAGCGUGAAGGAUGACUGCCCUAUGGGUUGUAAACUUCUUUUAUAUGGGAAUAAAGUUUUCCACGUGUGGAAUUUUGUAUGUACCAUAUGAAUAAGGAUCGGCUAACUCCGUGCCAGCAGCCGCGGUAAUACGGAGGAUCCGAGCGUUAUCCGGAUUUAUUGGGUUUAAAGGGAGCGUAGGUGGACAGUUAAGUCAGUUGUGAAAGUUUGCGGCUCAACCGUAAAAUUGCAGUUGAUACUGGCUGUCUUGAGUACAGUAGAGGUGGGCGGAAUUCGUGGUGUAGCGGUGAAAUGCUUAGAUAUCACGAAGAACUCCGAUUG
rnacentral:rRNA from 1 species